rnacentral:rRNA from 1 species
AACGAACGCUGGCGGCAUGCCUAACACAUGCAAGUCGAACGAGACCUUCGGGUCUAGUGGCGCACGGGUGCGUAACGCGUGGGAACCUGCCCUUAGGUUCGGAAUAACUCCCCGAAAGGGGUGCUAAUACCGGAUAAUGUCUUCGGACCAAAGAUUUAUCGCCUGUGGAUGGGCCCGCGUUGGAUUAGCUAGUUGGUAGGGUAAAAGCCUACCAAGGCGACGAUCUAUAGCUGGUCUGAGAGGAUGAUCAGCCACACUGGGACUGAGACACGGCCCAGACUCCUACGGGAGGCAGCAGUGGGGAAUAUUGGACAAUGGGCGAAAGCCUGAUCCAGCAAUGCCGCGUGAGUGAUGAAGGCCUUAGGGUUGUAAAGCUCUUUUACCCGGGAUGAUAAUGACAGUACCGGGAGAAUAAGCUCCGGCUAACUCCGUG